UACAGAGGUCCCAAGCGUUGUUCGGAUUCACUGGGCGUAAAGGGUGCGUAGGUGGUAGGGUAAGUUUGAUGUGAAAUCUCCGAGCUCAACUCGGAAACGGCAUUGAAUACUAUUCUGCUCGAGGGUCGGAGGGGAGACUGGAAUUCUCGGUGUAGCAGUGAAAUGCGUAGAUAUCGAGAGGAACACCAGUGGCGAAGGCGAGUCUCUGGACGACUCCUGACACUGAGGCACGAAAGCUAGGGGAGCAAACAGG
rnacentral:misc_RNA from 1 species